GACGAACGCUGGCGGCGUGCCUAAUACAUGCAAGUAGAACGCUGAAGGAGGAGCUUGCUUCUCUGGAUGAGUUGCGAACGGGUGAGUAACGCGUAGGUAACCUGCCUGGUAGCGGGGGAUAACUAUUGGAAACGAUAGCUAAUACCGCAUAAUAGUAGAUGUUGCAUGACAUUUGCUUAAAAGGUGCAAUUGCAUCACUACCAGAUGGACCUGCGUUGUAUUAGCUAGUUGGUGAGGUAACGGCUCACCAAGGCGACGAUACAUAGCCGACCUGAGAGGGUGAUCGGCCACACUGGGACUGAGACACGGCCCAGACUCCUACGGGAGGCAGCAGUAGGGAAUCUUCGGCAAUGGACGGAAGUCUGACCGAGCAACGCCGCGUGAGGGAAGAAGGGUUUCGGAUCGUAAAGCUCUGUUGUAAGAGAAGAACGAGUGUGAGAGUGGAAAGUUCACACUGUGACGGUAUCUUACCAGAAAGGGACGGCUAACUACGUG
rnacentral:rRNA from 1 species